AUGAUCACACUCUUUGUGGCUCUUUACUCUCUGCUUUGUCUCUGCACAACUGGAAACACUUCUGACAUCAAGGAGCCUCACGUAAAAACAGUAAAGCUGGGAGAAAAUGUAACAAUGGAGUGUAACGUUAGUGGGAAUAAAGAUAAUGUAUUUUGGUACAGACAGAGAUUCGGAGAAAUGCCUCAGUUUAUGGCGAGAACAUACAAUAACCCUCAGGGCUACACAUUUGCAGAGGAAUUUAAUGAUAGACGCUUCAGUGUUUCUGUAAAUGGCAGUAAAUUUGAUCUCAACAUUAAUGGAACAAAUAAAAGUGACAGAGGAGACUAUCUCUGUGUAAAUCUUGACGGAACUACACCAAAGUUCACAUCUGGAACACGUCUGCAGUUUGAAGGUGAAGAGAUGAAACCCUGUCCUACACCUGGAACACUUAACAAGAACACACACUCUGUUACACACCAGGGUUCAAACAGCAGAGAUGAAAAAGGUUACAGCUCUACUGAUCAGAUGCGUGUGCUGUUCUGGCUCUCUGUUUCUAGAGUUGGAGUUCUUGUCUUUAUUAUUUUUCCAACGAUGCUGAUUGUUUACAAA